rnacentral:rRNA from 1 species
AUACGAAGGGGGCUAGCGUUGUUCGGAAUUACUGGGCGUAAAGCGCAUGUAGGCGGACAUUUAAGUCAGGGGUGAAAUCCCGGGGCUCAACCUCGGAACUGCCUUUGAUACUGGGUGUCUAGAGUGUGGAAGAGGUAAGUGGAAUUCCGAGUGUAGAGGUGAAUUAAAAAAACGUAGAUAUUCGGAGGAACACCAGUGGCGAAGGCGGCUUACUGGUCCAUUACUGACGCUGAGGUGCGAAAGCGUGGGGAGC